UACGUAGGGGGCGAGCGUUGUCCGGAUUUAUUGGGCGUAAAGCGCUCGCAGGCGGUCCGAUGCGUCGUGCGUGAAAGACCCCGGCUCAACUGGGGAGGGUCGUGCGAUACGGUCGGACUCGAGGCCAGUAGGGGGACGCGGAAUUCCGGGUGUAGUGGUGGAAUGCGUAGAGAUCCGGAGGAACACCAGCGGCGAAGGCGGCGUCCUGGACUGGUACUGACGCUCAGGAGCGAAAGCGUGGGGAGCGAUCCGG
rnacentral:rRNA from 1 species